UACGUAGGUGGCAAGCGUUGUCCGGAUUUACUGGGCGUAAAGAGCGCGCAGGCGGCCAAGUCAGUCGAAUGUGAAAGCCCCCGGCUUAACUGGGGAGGGUCAUUCGAUACUGCUCGGCUCGAAGACAGGAGAGGGAAGUGGAAUUCCCGGUGUAGUGGUGAAAUGCGUAGAUAUCGGGAGGAACACCAGUGGCGAAGGCGACUUUCUGGCCUGCUCUUGACGCUGAGGCGCGAAAGCUAGGGGAGCAAACGGG
rnacentral:rRNA from 1 species